GCCGCUUCGAAACAUCUCCCAGAUCAGCCCGAUACCACCACUAUUCAGUAUUAAAAUAAUAGAACCGGGAUAGGCCGGCGCUAUGGCCGUUGGAAAAAGUUUUUGAAAAUAGCGCCGUCACAACACUCGUUCUAAUUAACGGACUCCUUCUAAAUACGUCUAGUACGCCUGCGCCGAAAAAAACAUGGAUACCGAACGGCGGCCGCUCCGCUCGAAUAUCCGUGUUUACAGUCGGAUGGAAUACAGUAAGAACCAACAACGCGCCGAUUCGGCAGUCCAGUCGACAAAAAAGACGUAAUGUGUCUUCCGCCUUAUUCAAGAAAAAAAAAGGAAGAGAUGGAGAUAUAUUUUACGUCAUCGAUUACAUACAUUCGUUAUUGUUUCUCCUGCAACGCAGCCAUUAUCUUUAGUGUUGGUUAUUAAUUUGAAUUUUGGCAUAUCCACGGAUACGGAGAUGAUAGGCCGCCUAAAUGAAGAGGUAACGAAUUUUAAUCCGUUUUUCAUUAGACUGUUUCGACGCUUAUUUUUUCAAGCUUUUUAUUCCAAAAUGAAAAAAAAAAAUUAUAUUAGGUUAGUCCCGUGUCUGUUUCAGCCGUAUCCUGAAACACCAUAACAGUUUUGAAUAUUAUCCCUUUAAUUACGGUAUGGGGAUAAGUAGCGUAUGGAGAAUAGUCGACGUGGGGUAAGUAAUACCGACCUAACCGAGGAAAAUAUUUUCCGGUAUCUUUUAGCCGUAAUAUGGAUGGAUGGGAUACAUGGGAAGUAAAUUGACGUAUAAAACGGCACCAGGGAACCAGCCAUGCCUACGGAAAACCAUGGAUACGUGAUGACGCUGUCCGUACGUCCACAGGCCGAAACCGAUGCUAUAACGGGUGGCCGUUUUUAAAUCUUGAGGUACAAUAUUUCGGAAAGCCAAUAAAAUCCGUCUUACGGCCCAAAGUACCAAUUUUCCGUUAUUCAUUUGGCAGGUAUUUGGUCGUCCGGAACGUGGAAGCGUAGCUGCGGCCCUAUAGCCGGCCGAUAAGGCACUAUUUUUAUCACAUUAAUUUUUGGGAAUUAGUUAAACUCGCGAAACUCUUUUCUUAUUUCUGUAUGGCUACGAUAACGGUAGUUUAUUGUCACCGACCAAUUUUAUGACUUAUGUCCGAUGCCGAAAAUAUUAACAAGGAACGGGGUGAAAAGUCGGUAGCGGAGAGGAAAAUUUCGACUUAGCGCCUUCAAAUGUGGUAGAAAACCAGCCGAGUACGGUGUCAGACCGGCGAAAGUUAACUACCGUAUAUCAAUCAUUUUAAUUACUGUCAGCCGUUCCGUUUGGCGCAACAAAAAUGUCGGUGGAGAAAAUUCUCUUCCCGUCCUUAAUAAUUUAAAAUUUUGUCUCCAAACAAGAUGUUUUUGUAUUUUCUCCGGUAAUUGAGUCGGAGCGAGAUUAUCGAUUUUUCUCCGUGCAAAAUUUGAAUCCAGACGGUGGCUGAUGGCCGGUCUUCACCACUAAAUUACCUUAGCGGUGACAGUGGGCCACCUUCCCAGGCGCGGCCACCACCAUAUCCAACCUUAUUUGGUGGGCGCAACUAAAAUACCAAAUACGGUUACCACUCAUGAGAAUGUCCGUUUCUAUACGGAUAAAGACGGAAAUUUUGGACCGAUUUUAUUCCACUUAAUACGUAUAAUCCGAUACAUUAAGUCGAAUAAAACCGGUUCAAAGUUUGUUUCGGCUCCGUCCGAGUUUGGUCGGCUUUUCCAACGGCCCGAUGGAAACAGUCCCGCUUGGCACCCACCGGUCCGGAAUCGAUUCCGGUAGUCGUACCUGGACCGAUGUCUGUAGGGAUUUUUAGCCUGGGUGUGAAUGGGGCCGGUGGGCAAAAAUCCGCCGACGGUUAGAAAACCGGUUUCCCUACCGUCUGCAAGAAAAUCGCGAAUUGAUUCAGCGGGGGAGACGAAAACUAACGACGGAGAAAGAAAGAGGGAGGUAGACUGUGCCAGCGGAUGGUGGACCAGUAAGAAAGGAAGGGAAAAUGGGGACGAGUGUUUUAAUUGGCAGCCGAUAAGUUUCUGAUCCCUACAGCUUCUUAUCGAAUUGCGCCUCCGCUAAUUUGUUUUAGAAAAAACAGUUACCGGGCCUAAAGGCGCCGUCUACCAUCGACUCCCCUAGGACACAGUGGCCGAAACGCCAACCAGGUAACAGCUCGGCUUUUUAAAGGUGCGACGGCCUAUAAAGACGAUAGAGUACCAUCGACGUUCAGACCUCAGGUUGGGAAAGGGGAUAAUGGCCGUAUCGUAAAAAGUUACUGCCCAUUCGACGGUUUAAUCCGCUAAAUAUUUGGUGGCGCGGCGGAUUUAUAAAAAAACCGACAAUAUAAUCCGCCCCAUAAAUCCGGAAUUAGACCAAAUACCGGAAAGUAUAUCGGUCUAUUUGUCGGGCGUAGACAGCUUUCCCACAAGAUUUCUCCGGCCAAAAAUUCACACUAAAGGCUUUAAUCCGGACACUACUAACCAGAAAAAGUGAUAGUUAGAAUUAGGAUCCGAUUCCACUCCCCGCGCGAUCUGUCGACAUGGGCGGAAUUAUUAAUUCUCCGUGACGAAACAUUAAUGUUUACCCGUUUCUCCAGAAUAUUUGGCCGGCGGGUAGAUCCCAAUACCGUAAAAACAGUAAAAAGUACCGCGCUAAAUGAUGCGAUAUUCUUGAUGGUAAGGAUAAUUAAAUAAUUUCUCCGGUUUGGGGCCGUCACCCUUUCUAACACAUUUCCGGUACAUCCUCCCACGGCGAAAAUACACCGGUCUCUAAGAUUUCUUGGCCUUAGAAAGAAAUACGGUGAUCCCGCGCCUCCUCUUCCCACCUAAUAGACGUAGGUGGAUCGGAAAGUGCCUGGCAGACCGUCUCCCCGGAUUCGAAACUGAUCAGCCUCCCCGACCUUCGGGAGGAGUCCGGGACCGGUGCCUUCCAUCCCACCAGCCCAUUUCCGGUGGCCCCCGAGACUCGAUCCACCGACAUUAUCGUAAAAUCGGGGGACGUACUAAGCGGGAAUCACACCGGGAACAUUCCGAUCGGUGGUCCGGAAUGCAGAGGCAUCGACCCAGGCAUCGGUUGGUUUAGGUGGAUGCGCCGCUGCCUAUGGCGCCGUCUGGACACAUUGGAAUAGACGGAUAAUUUAUAUUAGGAAGGGAAUUUUUUACGGGGAAUAGCGGCCCGAAAUUCCGCUAAGAGUAGGUUGGUAGGGAAAUAAGGGACGUUUUCGAAGGCGCAUAAAAACGAAUUUAAAACGAUUUAUCUGGGGAAGUAUUAUCCCGGGUGCCGAUAAAAUUUGUCUGAACUUUCAGACGCGGGAGCAACCGGAACCACCAAGGAUAAAUUGUAAAAGGCGGGAAUACCCAUUUCGGCCACUCGAUUCCUCGAUUAUACCGAGUUUUCCUCACCCGCGCCUGGGAGGGGAAAACUCGGCAAAAUCGAGGAAUUAACACCGUCCCGGAUAACGAUCUUUCCAGUCGGCAUCCGAGGUUAAAACUAAUCCGGAUAGGCCGGAGCCGAAUAAACGUCAGAAGACGUUUUCCAUCCAUUUUCCGAAUAUCUUAUCGCCGUCCGAUGGCAGCCAGCAAAUAGUUGGGACGAAAGUACCGACCACUAAUAUUUGGGUCGGUACUUUCGUAGAAAGGCUGGGCCCGAACCAAACGCUGCCUAUUAGCCGGUAAUUAUUCCUCCCACUUCUCCAUCCGCCCAGUCCGGCCUAAUAAGAGUCGAAAGGAAUACCGGACAGGCAAAUAGUCACUGGUUAAUUAGGAGCGGCCACCACCGAGACAUCCGUGACGGUUUUUUUUGGUCGACAGAUGACGCCAUUUUUCAUUCUGUAAGAACACUAAGUGACGGG
rnacentral:lncRNA from 1 species